UACGUAGGGUGCGAGCGUUGUCCGGAUUUAUUGGGCGUAAAGAGCGUGUAGGCGGCCAGGUAGGUCUGCUGUGAAAACUCGAGGCUUAACCUCGAGACGUCGGUUGAAACCGUAUGGCUAGAGUCCGGAAGAGGAGAGUGGAAUUCCCGGUGUAGCGGUGAAAUGCGCAGAUAUCGGGAAGAACACCCGUGGCGAAGGCGGCUCUCUGGGACGGUACUGACGCUGAGACGCGAAAGCGUGGGGAGCGAACAGG
rnacentral:rRNA from 1 species